rnacentral:rRNA from 1 species
UUCGGCCGAUUGAUGGGACUACCUAGUGGCGAACGGGUGAGUAACGCGUGAGCAACCUGCCUUUCAGUGGGGGACAACAGAGGGAAACUUCUGCUAAUACCGCAUAACAUGUCCGGAAGGCAUCUUCUGGACAUCAAAGAUUUAUCGCUGAAAGAUGGGCUCGCGUCUGAUUAGCUAGUUGGUGGGGUAACGGCCCACCAAAGCGACGAUCAGUAGCCGAUCUGAGAGGAUGUACGGCCACAUUGGGACUGAGACACGGCCCAGACUCC